rnacentral:rRNA from 1 species
GACGAACGCUGGCGGCGUGCCUAAUACAUGCAAGUAGAACGCUGAAGGAGGAGCUUGCUUCCCUGGAUGAGUUGCGAACGGGUGAGUAACGCGUAGGUAACCUGCCUGGUAGCGGGGGAUAACUAUUGGAAACGAUAGCUAAUACCGCAUAAUAGCAGUUGUUGCAUGACAACUGUUUGAAAGGUGCAAUUGCACCACUACCAGAUGGACCUGCGUUGUAUUAGCUAGUUGGUGGGGUAACGGCUCACCAAGGCGACGAUACAUAGCCGACCUGAGAGGGUGAUCGGCCACACUGGGACUGAGACACGGCCCAGACUCCUACGGGAGGCAGCAGUAGGGAAUCUUCGGCAAUGGACGGAAGUCUGACCGAGCAACGCCGCGUGAGUGAAGAAGGUUUUCGGAUCGUAAAGCUCUGUUGUAAGAGAAGAACGAGUGUGAGAGUGGAAAGUUCACACUGUGACGGUAUCUUACCAGAAAGGGACGGCUAACUACGUG